GACGAACGCUGGCGGCGUGCUUAACACAUGCAAGUCGAACGGAAAGGCCCUGCUUUUGUGGGCUGCUCGAUUGGCGAUGGGGUGCGUAACAGGUAUGUAACCUGCCCUAGACUUUGGGGUAGCUUCAGGUAACUGGGGCUAAUACCAGAUAGCAGCUCAUGCUGCAUGGUGGGGGUUGGAAAGUUGCGGCGGGUGGGGAUGGACUCGCGGCUUAUCGGCUAGCUGGUGGGGUAGUGGCUUACCAAGGCAUGGACGGGUCGCCGGCCUGGGAGGGGGAACAGGCACAUGGGGCCUGAGGGAGGGCCCAGAGGGGAACGUGGGGCAGCGGUGGGAAACAUGGCACAAUCGGCGGAAGCCGGAGACAGCGACGUCGCGUGCGGGAUGACGGUCUUCGGGGAAUAAACCGCUUCCGCCUGUGACGAAGCGUGUGUGACGGUAAUGGAUAAAGAAGCACCGGCUAACUACGUG
rnacentral:rRNA from 1 species